AUUGAACGCUGGCGGCAGGCCUAACACAUGCAAGUCGAACGAGUGGCGGACGGGUGAGUAAUGUCUGGGAAACUGCCUGAUGGAGGGGGAUAACUACUGGAAACGGUAGCUAAUACCGCAUACCAUCGGAUGUGCCCAGAUGGGUUUAGGUAGUAGGUGGGGGAAAGGCGCACCUAGGCGACGAUCCCUAGCUGGUCUGAGAGGGUGACCAGCCACACUGGAACUGAGACACGGUCCAGACUCCUACGGGAGGCAGCAGUAGGGAAUAUUGCGCAAUGGGCGCAAGCCUGAUACAGCCAUGCCGCGUGUAUGAAGAAGGCCUUCGGGUUGUAAAGUACUGUCAGCGGGGAGGCGUUACCCACAGAAGAAGCACCGGCUAACUCCGUGCCAGCAGCCGCGGUAAUUC
rnacentral:rRNA from 1 species